UGGGGGAUAUUGCACAAUGGGCGAAAGCCUGAUGCAGCGACGCCGCGUGGGGGAUGAAGGCCUUCGGGUUGUAAACUUCUUUUGCUCUGAACAAGGCAUGCUAAUGGGUGUGUUGAGUGUAGGGGUUGAUUAGCGCCGGCUAACUACGUGCCAGCAGCCGCGGUGAUACGUAGGGCGCGAGCGUUGUCCGGAAUUAUUGGGCGUAAAGGGCUUGUAGGUGGCUGGUUGCGUCUGUCGUGAAAGCUCAUGGCUUAACGGUGGGUUUGCGGCGUGUACGGGCUGGCUUGAGUGCAGUAGGGGAGGCUGGAAUUCCUGGUGUAGCGGUGGAAUGCGCAGAUAUCAGGAGGAAUACCGGUGGCGAAGGCGGGUCUCUGGGCUGUUACUGACACUGAGGAGCGAAAGCAUGGGGAGCGAACAGG
rnacentral:rRNA from 1 species